CAAGACGGGGACGAGAAGGCACGUCCACAAUGUACCUGAGAUGUGUUGAAGCCGGUUCGCAGAGCAUAUGCCACACACCCGCUAUCAACAGCUGGAAGAGGAAGGAAGACGGAGGACGUAGUCAAGUUCAACAGGACAUCACAGCAGCCUAAUAAUCAAAAUAAACUGGCAGUGACAGGGCCAAGGAGACUGGCUCAACGACUCCCUCCAAAAGUUUUAUCAAGCCCCCUAAAAUCAACCUGCGAGCGUGCCACACGCUCGUCUCUGAGGAGAUUUGCGCAGGUUACGACAAAGGGACAGCACAGAGGACAUUUCUCAGACCUUCAUCUGCGGCACAGACUCCCCUGUCAGCAUGGCUUCAUCUACGAUACACCUUCCACGUAGCAGCAGCACAUCACAC